CAGCCCCUGUCAGCUUCAGAUAUGCGCUGAGAGCUCUACUUCCGCAUUCCUGGGAUGCGUGGCGGCCCAGAGUUCACCUUCUGCACCCGGAUUCAAUAACAUGUCAAAUCCCUUCAGUCUCACCCGGAGCUGAAACUCUCUCAACUCGCUCGCUGCCUCUGCACACAUGCCUUGCGCCUGUCCAAAUAUUGAAGCUGGGUUGAGUGCAGCCACGGAGUCUGGGCCAACUAGGCUCCACCUGCCAAGAACCAGCUCCACGGUGAGAGCCAAGAGUCCUUGAAUGUAGCCCCCAGGCUUGCAUGGAAGUGGCCUUCUCACUCAGCGAGGGUUUACAGCGUUGAAACUCUACUACCCUUCAGAGUGGCCUCCGAAGUUAGGAAUUCCUGGUUAACAUCUGCCCUGUGACCUCGCCCUGUCGCAACGACUCCAUUAAACUGAGUCAUUCAGUCCUGCGGACUCCCUGCAGAAGAUAAGGGCUGGCAUGGAAAACAGCAGCUCAAGCUCUGGGCUGACUGUGGGCUGUGGGUUUGAGCAAAUGGGUGCUUUGCAAUUGACCUCAAUGUUUAUUCUGGUUCUCAAAAGAUGGAGCUUGUAUGCUGGCGAUUUUCCGAGAAUCCAUUAGCCGGCUCCUGAGUCUGUGAUGGUAUUUCUUACGAGACCGUUUGCUAAGGGAGGAGUUUGAAGUAAGAGGUUCAAGAGACAUCAGGAGAAGGAGCCAGAGCAGGAAAUCUACAAAGUGCAAGUAUCUCUGGGAUGUACGCUGGAAGGAAGCCAAAUUAACUUAGAGGGCUUUCCAGUGAUUGGUGGGGUCCACAUUAGGGGAGCACUGAGGACUUUAUCAAAGGCCUCCUGACUAAUGUCAUCCCAGAGCAACCUCACAGAACCUUCCAGAAUGACAUCUACCCACAUUAAUUAUCAAGAUUUGAGAUUCUGAGCUGCCGACAUCGGGAGUACCCGGAUGGUUGAUUCGAUGUCAAAGAGUCCCUAAGCUGGCAGAGAUCAAAAUCUCUUCCUCCAAAUUAAAAGGCUUACUCUCUCACAGAAUUCACAAUGGCCUCUUAAUAGCACCGAAUUAAUCAACGAGCAUGCCUCCAAAUCACCUCCAAUGAUCAGCUUAAUGCUCGUAGUUACCCUCCAGAGCAUGGUCCUGUCUAGAGGAAGACACCUUCUCUAUCUCAUCAGCGGGUUCUGAACCAAUAGAGUAAGGUGAUACAAAGACAUUAGCCAUUCUUUUCAGUGAGAUGGUUCAUCUUGAAAGCAAUCCGGAGACUUGGAAGUACCAAGAAACAGCAAACUGUCCCCCCGUGUUCCCCCUGGAACAUAGCAAACAGCCACAAGUGGACACUGGCGGUGAUGUCUGAUGUCGCAUAGUUUUCAGUGGACAGAUAGAAUUGGUGUCAUUAAAAUUAUCAGGAAUGCCACUCUUACACCAUGACUGUUGGCAGCCCAAGCCUCAGGUCCCAGCUCUGACAGGCUCUUGUGCAUGGAUGCCCUCCUAAGUUAAGGGGCAGGCUCUCUGACUAAACCCUUCAGUUGUUCAACGUUCCAAAACUUGAACAGUGGGAGUAAUCAUACUUUCAUGGAACAGAUGGGGAAACUGAGGCUCCAAAACCCAUAGUUCCUACAGGCCAGUGGCAAGAUUCAAUCCCAAAAAGUGUGGCUCCCUUGCCCUUGAACAUGGCUCACUCAUUCUCUGCCUCCACCUACCCAAAGCCUUCCAUGCCUCACUUCCAGGUCAUCAUUCUUAAACACCUGCCACACCCCCCAGGCUGUGGGCUGAAUGAUGGUGUAAUAAGGAACUCAAAGGCUCCCAGAAAGAUGAGAAAAUAAUGUGAGCAGGCGAAGCAAAUACAUGCGUGGCUGGGUAGACUGAACCGUGCUGAGCAAGGAAGAGCCGCCAUCCCCAGAGAUGGUUCCAGAAGCAAUCAGAGAAGGCUUCUCGGAGGAGUUGCUGCCAGACAAAACCUAAAGGCCCUGGUUCAUGGCCACAGGAACGUGGCCAUGAAUAGCAAGCAUGCUUCGCACAGCUGCACUUGCCCUUGUGGCAGAGGCUGGUGGGCCUUCCAGAACCUCAGUCCAUCUGUUUUAUUGGGGAGGUGUCUCGGGGAUCUGGAAUCUUAUGGAAGCCCCCAAGCACGGGAGCAUGAGGGAGAUUAGCGGCAACCCCCCUGCAUCCCCUGGUGGUGCCGAGUCAGUUCUACUUCCCUGCUACGACCUUCAUUCUCUCCUUGUUGUUAUGCACACACUUGUUGUUUCUGCAAAAGAACAUUUGUACUCUCUUGGAAAACCUAAGGGCUGACACUGAAAAAAAAAAAAAAAUCAAAGCACGCGUUCCGUUUCCAGUCCCCUUCCACAGUCCUCAGGUGGAGGGUC